rnacentral:misc_RNA from 1 species
UUUCCGUAGGUGAACCUGCGGAAGGAUCAUUCACAAUAAGUGUUUUAUGGCACUUUUUAAACUAUCCAUAUCCACCUUGUGUGCAACGUUAUGAGACUCUCUAUCGUUAUCUUUUAGGUUACGUAAGGGGGAACCUCUACAACUUACCAACUUCACCUUUAACUUAUUUGUCUGAACAUUUGUUAUCUCGAAUUUACUUAAUUCGAAAAUACAACUUUCAACAACGGAUCUCUUGGCUCUC